UUAAUUUGAGCCUCCCGAGUAAAUCAUCCUUUUUUGCUUUGUUCUGAAUAUUAUUAGGAAUAGUGUGUGUCUGUGACUGUGUUGACAUACAGUUCCUGUCGCUUUGCCAGUGAGGAUUCGUGCACUUCGGUGUAGAGAACCCUUUCUUUCCCUUGCUGUUUGUAAUGGAUGGAAGCUGUCACAUCUCUCUAAGCCUCGAACUCCUGGCCUGAUACUCAGUUGUCCGUCUGUCUUCAGAAAGUGAAGGCUGUGUAUGGAACAGUGGUUGGCAGUUUUCCUCAACUUUGCAAGAGAGAGAGAAUUGGUUGGAAUGAAACCUUGCUCUCCAUACAGUCCGCUUGAGAUGCAGCAUUGAAAGGACUACCUGAUUUCACCAAGCAUGAUUUCUAAAAAGCACGGUUUCCUCCCUAGCUAAAAAGUGAGCCUUAUUAGCUAAAAUGUAAAAUGUAGGAGAGAAAUGGCUGUAUCAACUACAGAAACAUGGAAAUUCCAGCUUCAGAACGUGGUUUAAGGAGUGCAGAGAAUGUUUAUCAGUUACAUUUAAGUUGUAUUUUCCAAUUCUUUCUUU
rnacentral:lncRNA from 1 species